rnacentral:rRNA from 1 species
CCCCGCUGAGUUUAAGCAUAUCAAUAAGCGGGAGCGAA